GACGAACGCUGGCGGCGUGCUUAACACAUGCAAGUCGAACGGAAAGGCCCUGCUCUUGUGGGGUGCUCGAGUGGCGAACGGGUGAGUAACACGCGAGUAACCUGCCCUUGACUUAGGGAUAACUUUAGGAAACUGCGGCUAAUACCGGAUAGGAGCUCCUGCUGCAUGGUGGGGGUUGGAAAGUGUCGGCGGUUGGGGAUGGACUCGCGGCAUAUCAGCUGGUUGGUGGGGUAGUGGCUUACCAAGCCUUUGAGGGGGAGCCGGCCUGAAAGGCUGACCGGCCCCAGCGGGACCGGGAGGCGGCAGAGGCGCCUACGGGGGGAAGGAGUGAAGAAUAUUGGACAAAGGGCGCGAGAGUGAUGCAGCAACGCCGAGCGCGAGAUGAUGUUCUUCGGGAUGAAAACCUCUGUCGGCAGCUACGAAGCGUGAGUGGCGAUAAUGGCAAAAAAACCAGCGUAAAUCCGCG
rnacentral:rRNA from 1 species